CUAUGGACUCCUGACAAAGUCCACUGGGCAAAGCCAAGACAACCCCCACCUCCCCUCUCAGUCUGGGCUCAUUGGUGGCCAGACCUGUAGUGCUGACAGGUGUGGAAUGUUCAUCAGACCCGUGCAGCUGGGCCAGCCCAGAGGCUCGUGGCUUCUAGGCCCCAAAGCUGAAGUAUCAGGUCACAAACAAGCCGGAACCAAGGGCUCCUCGGGUCAGAGUUGGUGGAGGACGAAUAGAGUUAUCAGCCAUCAAGGCCUCUAGUCCAGAUGCUUCCUUCUGCUUUAAGGAAGGCUGGGAGACUGCAAGCGAGGACUACAGGGACUAACCUGGACAAGGCAUGCGUGUCUUUGCUGGGCAGGAGCUCUAAGGGCAAGGCAGUGGAGGAUAUGACCAACCCAGUGCCCAUGUCUCCCACCACGCCAGGCUGUGAAUGACUGAUAGAAAGAUGCACUGCUUCACGAAAGAACCGACAGUUCACUAAGAGGGAACCAAUGCCAUCAUCCAGGAGAGGAAGGAGGUAUUUGGAGAUUCAGGGAACCUCUCCAAGUCUCUUCUCACCUCUUUUCUGACUCACUGUAUAGACUCCCUGCUGGCUUGUUGAAAUAAGCAGCCAAAAUGGAAAAGCCCACAUGGCAAAGAACUAUCACUGGCCUCCAGGGAACAGUCAUCAAAAAAGCAAGAGUUCUUCAAUAUAGAGCCAUAAGCCAGACUCCAGC